CCAAUAGCGUAUAUUAAAGUUGUUGCAGUUAAAAAGCUCGUAGUUGAAUUUCGGGAUUAGUAAGUUGGUCGUGCCUCCGGUAUGUACUUGGCUUUACUGAUUCCUCCUUCUUGAAGAACUGUAAUGUCAUUAAUUUGGCGUUGCAGGGAAACAGGACUGUUACUCUGAAAAAAUUAGAGUGUUUAAAGCAGGCUAACGCUUGAAUACAUUAGCAUGGAAUAAUGAAAUAGGACGUUUGAUCCUAUUUUGUUGGUUUCUAGGAUUGACGUAAUGAUUAAUAGGGAUAGUUGGGGGCAUUAGUAUUCAAUUGUCAGAGGUGAAAUUCUUGGAUUUAUUGAAGACUAACUACUGCGAAAGCAUUUGCCAAGGAUGUUUUCAUUAAUCAAGAACGAAAGUUAGGGGAUCGAAGACGAUCAGAUACCGUCGUAGUCUUAACCAUAAACUAUGCCGACUAGGGAUCGGAUGAUGUUAAUUUUUUAAUGACUCAUUCGGCGCCUUACG
rnacentral:rRNA from 1 species